rnacentral:rRNA from 1 species
UACCAGCACCCCGAGUGGUCGGGACGAUUAUUGGGCCUAAAGCAUCCGUAGCCGGUUUUACAAGUCCUCCGUUAAAUCCAACUGCUUAACAGAUGGGCUGCGGAGGAUACUAUAAGACUAGGAGGCAGGAGAGGCAAGCGGUACUCAGUGGGUAGGGGUAAAAUCCGUUGAUCCAUUGAAGACCACCAGUGGCGAAGGCGGCUCACUGGCCCGAUACUGACGCUGAGGUGCGAAAGCGUGGAGAGCAAACAGG